rnacentral:rRNA from 1 species
GAGUUUGAUCCUGGCUCAGGACGAACGCUGGCGGCGUGCCUAAUACAUGCAAGUCGAGCGCGGGAAACUUUUCAGAUCUCUUCGGAGUGACGAAUUGUGGAACGAGCGGCGGAUGGGUGAGUAACACGUGGGCAACCUGCCUGUAAGAUCGGGAUAACUUGCGGAAACGUGAGCUAAUACCGGAUAAAGCUUCACAUCUCCUGAUGUGUUGAUGAAAGACGGCUCUGCUGUCACUUACAGAUGGGCCCGCGGCGCAUUAGCUAGUUGGUGGGGUAAAGCCUACCAAGGCGACGAUGCGUAGCCGACCUGAGAGGGUGAUCGGCCACACUGGGACUGAGACACGGCCCAGACUCCUACGGGAGGCAGCAGUAGGG